UCCCCCCUCCCGGCCACCAUGAACACCAACGUGUGCGUGGAGAGCGGCCCCAACCCCGAGGCGCCGGGGCUGCCCAAGGACAGCCACCUGCCCGAGGGGGCCCUCAACAGCCUUGUGGAUUACAACUCGGAGAUGGAGAGGUACCGCUCCUUCGCCACCUUCUACAAGACCAACGGCGGCGCCUUCCCCCAGGCGGCCAAGAUCGCUCGCAUCACCACCCCCAUCUUCCCCAGCGCCGCCGCCGCCGCCGCCGCCCGCAUCGGCAUGUCCCCCUGGAACUGCGACACCGCCACGGCCGCCGCCGCCACCGCCAUGCUCUGGGGCAGCGGCGGCGGCGGCGGCGGCGGCGGCGCGGCGGGCGGCGCGAGGAAGCCCUCCUCCGCCGCCGCCGCCGCCUCCGCCUCCGCGGCCGCCGCCGCCGCCUCCUCGCUGCACGCCGGCAGGGGCGGCAUGCACCACCGGAGCGACUCGCAGCGGCUGGGCAAGCCCGGCUGCCCGCCGGCCGAGCAGCCCGCCCUGCCCAUGGCGAACGGCAACUUCCUCUCCACCCUCUCCCCCGAGCACUGCCGGCCGCUGGCCGGCGAGUGCAUGAACAAGCUCAAGUGCGGCGCCGCCGAAGCGGAGAUCAUGAACCUCCCCGAGCGCGUCGGCACCUUCUCGGCCAUCCCGGCGCUGGGCGGCCUCUCCCUGCCCCCCGGGGUCAUCGUCAUGACGGCCCUGCACUCCCCCGCCGCGGCCUCGGCCGCCGUCACAGACAGCGCCUUCCAGAUCGCCAACCUGGCGGACUGCCCGCAGAGCCACGCCUCGGCCUCGCCCGCCUCCGCCCUGGGCGCCGCCGCCGGCGCGGGGGGCGGCGGAGGCGGCGGCGGAGGAGGCGGCGGUGGCGGAGGGGGGGCCGGCGGCGGCAGCGGGGCCGGGGCCGGGGCGGGCAACCCCGCCAAGAAGAAGCGGAAACGCUGCGGGGUGUGCGUGCCCUGCAAGCGGCUCAUCAACUGUGGAGUCUGCAGCAGUUGCAGGAACCGCAAAACGGGACACCAGAUCUGCAAAUUUAGGAAAUGUGAAGAGCUUAAGAAAAAACCGGGCACUUCGCUAGAGGUAAAGGAAUGCCUUGGCAUGAAAACCUGUCCUGAAUCCACUGCCUGCUUGACAGAUAUAUACAAAGACUUGAAACAUGAGAGGAAAAGCGGAUGGUUGCAAGAAAAAAAACCCACAAAAAACCCCAACCAAAAGAAAGGAAUUAAACCCAGUACCGGGGCAUGUAUUAAUACCGUGCGAGUGCCUUUGCACGCAUUGGUUCCUGGGAGCAACGCACAGCAUCUUGCUUGACAGGCUAAGACUGACAGACCUCGACGAUGAAUCUCUACUGCCUUCUAAAAAGCAAAUCUACUCACAGAAGUAUUGCAAAGUAUCAAACAUAAACGGAGAGUGCGUGGAAGAUGCCAAACCUGUUGGUGAAGUCCUUCUUCAGAAGCGCUUCUAAGUACUCAUCGUUAACAUCGAAGAAUUUAGCUGAGCUGGACAGUGGUAUAUUGUCAGAGGGCAUUUGCAGGUAUUAGAAUUCCUAUUAACCCUUCUAUCAGGGAGCCAAUUAAAAAGAUUCUCGCAGACUCCAAGUUGGUGAUAAAAGAAUAUGAAAAUAAUAUAAAGUGGGGAAGAAAAGACACUGACCGCAAAGACAGCAUCUUGAUGAAUGGUGGUAAUAUGCAACAAUUCUGGGAGCAGCAGCUUUUAUGUUUUUGCGUUGUCCGAAAUUGUGAGUAAAUGGUAACUACUGCUUGGAGAAUUCAUUUAUCAGGGGUGCACUUCACCUUUAAGGAUGCUAUGUUUUAAAGUUAUAUCCAUGCACUCGAACAUGGUCGCAUAGCCAUUUUGAGUGUGGAUUGAAGUAUUUAAGAUACAAAAUUUCUACCUUUUGUUAUGAAAUUGGGACUAUUUGCUUGUUUUUCUAGUCACUGGUAUCGAUGGUUACAGAAAAAUAUCCAUGUGACUGUCAAUCACUGUUGUUAACCAUGAGGAAGGAGAGGUCCACUGAUUUAAUAAAAAAUGCAAAACUCAUCCAAAAGAGGAUCUUUUUAAAAAUACAAAAUCUGCAUCUAGACGCCAGAAUUCACUGUCACUGAUAACAGAGAAGAAAAAGUCUACUAGACUUAAAAAAUGGUUUUAAAUUUUCAUGAGUUCUCUGUAAAGCCAUCCACAGUUACGCUAGCUAAGAUGAAAUUGUAAGGUUUACCAACUGAUGUGCUUUGAGAUAUAAAUCACAAACUCAUUGUCUGACAUUAGGGAAAACCACAUUUUUCUCUCCUUCCACACUACCCAACAAAAACAUUUCUAUUUCCUUUAUACUAUGUAGUAUGUUUGAAUCUAUGUAACAAGAGUAUAUAAAUUUCUGAUUAUACUUUUGAGCUUGAUUUUGAUGCAACCAAUGAAAUUGAUAUGCUUCCCAAAUGAGAGUUAGUCAGAGGCGUACUUUAAUUCAUAUUAAACUGAAUCUUUUCCGGGAGGCGGGGGGAUUUCAAGGGAAUCUCUGCCAUGUAAAGAAAUCAUGCUGUCUGUCCAUAUAUGAAUCUAAGCAGUCAGACCUCAGAUUGCCUGUACAGAGCAAGACAUAUUAAAUGAGUUGUGACUACUGAGAGUUUGAAUAAUUGACGGAAAUUUCAAUGCAAUUAAUGUAAAGCAAAGGACACGAACUCAUUGCUGAGAAAUUAGGGUUUGUGGAUUAUCGAGGUAUGACAGUAAAUCCAAAUGUCAGCCCCCCUCUUUUUUCUCCAGCAUAAAACAGCAAACCCCAUGCUCCUAAUGCAGAUUUGUUAUGCUCUGGCAUAUCUAAUUUCUUAAACUGGUAAGACAAAGAUGACUGAUACCAAAUAAUAUAAGUGUACAUUUUUAAAAUCCAAAUGCUAUUUUAAAUGUAAGCUAAAAUGAGAACACUGCAUGGUUAAUAUUUAUCUCGCAUCCUUUCUCUUUGAGGCACAUCUUGUCAUAUAGGACUAUGCUGUUAAAGUGGUUCAUGGGAAUGAUGGGCAUGACUCCUUUGGCUAAUGGGAGCUGUGUGCAUGGAACAAUUUAGCUGUUAGUGCUCUGAGGAGAAGAGAACUUGAAUAGCAGGGGCUUGGAGAGCAAAAUAAAAAGAAAGCUGCUAAGGGCAUUUGAAAAUACACUCGCUAUUCUUUUUCUUCCUAAGAUUUGCUGCAGUAAACAACUGCUUCAAGAUUCCUCUUUAAAUAAGUGACAUGAAAUGGAAAAGAGCAUGACUUUGUAUCAACAGCCAUUCAAAAUGUACCCGGGGUCUCAAACUAACCUUGGGGGUAGGAAAAGCUUGCGGGGGGGGGGGUGUGCUGCCGGGGUGGUUGUUCAGGUUGGUUUCUUUCUUUGCUGGCCAGUGGUUUAAAGAAAUUAUCCCUAGUGGGAGCAUUCUGACCCAAAUAUCAGGGAUGCUGCAUUUCGUAUGGGGAGUGUAUUUAGGCCUGGAUUUUAAAAAUACAACUGUCUAAAAUUAGGUUGCCAAAUCCAUGUAAAGCGCUAAAGAAAUGGCCUGGUUUUCAAAAGAAUCAAAUAUCCAUGGACUCUGGGUCAGGGUCCUGACCCGGCAAAGCAGAUGAAUAUUCUCCCCAACCCCCCACCCCCAGGCAAGGCGAUUGCUCAUGCAUCUGAGGCUGAAGUGCUUAAGUGCUCCCUUAGGUAGGGGUUAGAGAACUUAAACAUGGGCGUAGAAUCGACUGAGCCCAUCCACUCUGUUAGAUCUUGGCCGGAGGGAGGUUUUUUCAUUUGAUUGUUUUUUUACCACUUUGCUUCCAUAGAUUUUUCCAGCCAAGCCAUAUGCAGCAAAGUGCUUUUAAACACAUUGCAAGCCUUGGUCCCCAACCUUGCCAGGACAAUUUCCCUUGGGGAGCAGGCUGCAAAUACACAAAUAGUUGUGGGGCUGCGUACAACUACUAAACUCAGGGCAAAUGUAUACCACAUGGGAGAGCGGCCUUUUUUAAAGGCUAAGCUAUCAGCAAGCUCUUCCUGAUGAUUAGUCAGGACCAGAAGAACCUGGGAUAUUAAAAAAAACCCAAAGAGCAUUAUACAUCACACAGCCCUUUCCUAAAUGUUAGGAUGCAGAUUGUUAGUGGGUUAAAAGAUGGCUUAAGGUACAGGAUGGGGACACAUAAACCCUGAGUCCAAGCCCUGCUUCCACCAAAAGGUUUACAUAUGACCCUGGGCAAGCCACUGACUAUUCACUUCUAAAUCCAUAAAAGGGCAAUAUACUUUUCUGCCUUUGGAGUAAAGGGAGACUAAAUUCCAUUAGUGAUUGUGAGGUCCUCAGAUAUUAAAUUCUUAAGUGCUUAGAUACAUCAGUAGAGGAAUUUUCCAAAGAGACAUUAUUGAAUAGAUCUGUGCAUGCUUUUUGGUAAUAUUCGUCAUAAUGUGUUGUUGUAUAUCUUUAUUCCUGAUAUUUUAUUUAUUACAAAGUAUUAAAGGUUGGGUUUCCUUAUGGGGGUGGAUUGACUUGGAGGAGUUCCACAGGGAAGGAAAAUGUUUUCCAUGUUAUAAGACUAAUAACAUAACGGGAAAAAGAAAAAGCUUAUGUUGCCAUUUGAUUGAGACAAUAAAUAAAUGCCUUCGCUUUGGCCG